rnacentral:lncRNA from 1 species
CUAAAUCUUAUUUUUGGCUUUUCAACAAGCCUUAGCACACAAAAAUAAGAAUUGUGAUGAGGAAGAUUUAUACAAGUUUGUAGGAAGGGAGUUGCGGGAGUUUUUGAAGGAAAAGUUUCAAGAUUGGUUUGGAAUUUUUUAUGUCUUUUAUUGAGUUUUUAUCUUUUUAUAUUGAGAUUUUGAAAAAAAGCUAGAUCUCAUUUUUAGCUUUUCAAUAAGUCUUAUUAUAGAAGAAGAAAAGUUGUGACAAAGGAGAUUUAUAAAAACUUGUACAAAGGAGGUUGUUGGAAUUUUUAAAUGAUGACAUUCAAUAUUGGUUUGGGAUUUUUUAUGUCAUUUCAUGUAUUUUCAUCUUUUCAUUUUGAAAUUUUAAAAGAAGCUAGAUCUUGUUGUUAAUUUUUCAAUAAGCCUUAGCAAGUGAAAAAAAGAGCUAUAUUAGGGGAAAUUCAAUCUAAUUUAUAAACGGAGGUUUUGAGGCUAAUAAGUAUAACAAGUGGCCAAUUACUUUGUUUUU